GAUGAACGCUGGCGGCGUGCCUAAUACAUGCAAGUCGAGCGAAUGGAUUAAGAGCUUGCUCUUAUGAAGUUAGCGGCGGACGGGUGAGUAACACGUGGGUAACCUGCCCAUAAGACUGGGAUAACUCCGGGAAACCGGGGCUAAUACCGGAUAACAUUUUGAACCGCAUGGUUCGAAAUUGAAAGGCGGCUUCGGCUGUCACUUAUGGAUGGACCCGCGUCGCAUUAGCUAGUUGGUGAGGUAACGGCUCACCAAGGCAACGAUGCGUAGCCGACCUGAGAGGGUGAUCGGCCACACUGGGACUGAGACACGGCCCAGACUCCUACGAGAGGCAGCAGUAGGGAAUCUUCCGCAAUGGACGAAAGUCUGACGGAGCAACGCCGCGUGAGUGAUGAAGGCUUUCGGGUCGUAAAACUCCGUUGUUAGGGAAGAACAAGUGCUAGUUGAAUAAGCUGGCACCUUGACGGUACCUAACCAGAAAGCCACGGCUAACUACGUGCCAGCAGCCGCAGUAA
rnacentral:rRNA from 1 species